rnacentral:siRNA from 1 species
UCGAUUCAGUUGAUUAACAAAU